CAGCCGCCGCGGGAAUACGUAGGUGGCAAGCGUUGUCCGGAAUUAUUGGGCGUAAAGGGCUCGCAGGCGGUUUCUUAAGUCUGAUGUGAAAGCCCCCGGCUCAACCGGGGAGGGUCAUUGGAAACUGGGGAGCUUGAGUAUGGGAGAGGGCAGUGGAAUGGCUGGUGUAGCGGUGAAAUGCGUAGAUAUCAGUCGGAACACCCAUGGCGAAGGCAGCUGCCUGGCCUAAUACUGACGCUGAGGUGCGAAAGCGUGGGGAGCGAACGGGAUUAGAUACCCCCGUAGUCCCUGUCUCUUAUAC
rnacentral:rRNA from 1 species